GUCAGCGCCACAAAAAAAGCCGCACUUUGAAGGUUUACGAAUUUUUAAAUUUCAGGGCCUGUGAUUUCAUUAUAUGGUUGCGGAUUCGCCCCAUUUUUUUUGACAUCUUCUGGACUUUUUAUUAGAGGUAAUCAUAUCAAAUUACGAAGAAUCAAAUCGAAAUUGCGUAACCGGCAGGGAACAAAAUAGGAGAAGCUGUCGUGUUUAAGUUUACAAAUGCAGUUUGUGAGAGCCACAACAAAUCGUGGAUGGUCAUAAAUAAUUGUCGACUUCGUGCAGUUAACCGCCAUAAAGUGUUGUUCAACUUUAAUGGUACUAUUCUACAUCCAACAAACAGUAUUGUGCUUCAUUCGCAAAUCUUCAAGAAAGCGAGUGGCUACAAGCCCUGGGUUAUCAACUACACAACGGAUUGCUGUCGAUUUCUGAAAAAAGAGCUAUAAUCCAAUUGCCAUUUAUAUCAAUAGUUAUUAUAUAGACUUUUCAAACUUUAAUCACUCGUGUCCCUUUAUGGGUGAUCAAAUAAUUGAUGGACUUUAUCUAAAAGUUGAUAUGCUGAAAGGUCUUCCAAUUCCGAAUGGCGACUAUUUAUUGGCAAUGAAUUGGUAUUUUUAUGAGAAAAAACAAUUUUCUACGAAUUUAUAUUAUACAUAUACAGAUUUACAAAAAAACAAAUAACCUGCCAAUUUUAAGACUAGAUUGUAAUUUUUUGGAAAAUUUAUUCAUAUAUCAAUUUUCAGGUCAGCAAAAUCGAUUGUUAAUAACACAACCAAAUAAAUAUUUAC